GAAAACAACCAAUCGGGAGUUGCC
rnacentral:siRNA from 1 species